rnacentral:rRNA from 1 species
AAUUUUCGGCAAUGGGGGCAACCCUGACCGAGCGCCGCCGCGUGAGUGAAGAAGGUCCCCGGAUUGUAAAACUCUGUUGUUAGGGAAGAACAAGUAUCGGAGUCACUGCCGGUACCUUGACGGUACCUGACGAGAAAGCCACGGCUAACUACGUGCCAGCAGCCGCGGUAAUACGUAGGUGGGCAGCGUUGUCCGGUUUUAUUGGGCGUAAAGCGCGCGCAGGCGGUCUUUUAAGUCUGAUGUGAAAUCUUACAGCUUAACUGUAAGCGGUCAUUGGAAACUGGGGGACUUGAGUGCAGAAGAGGAGAGUGGAAUUCCAUGUGUAGCGGUGAAAUGCGUAGAGAUAUGGAGGAACACCAGUGGCGAAGGCGACUCUCUGGUCUGUAACUGACGCUGAGGCGCGAAAGCGUGGGGAUAAAACA